UACAGAGGUCCCGAGCGUUGUUCGGAUUCAUUGGGCGUAAAGGGUGCGUAGGCGGCUGGGUAAGUUUGAUGUGAAAUCCUGGGGCUCAACCCUGGAACUGCAUUGAAUACUGCUCGGCUAGAGUACUGGAGAGGAAACUGGAAUUCACGGUGUAGCAGUGAAAUGCGUAGAUAUGCGGAGGAACACCGAUGGCGAAGGCAGCCCCCCUGGGUCAAGAUUGACGCUCAUGCACGAAAGCGUGGGGAGCAAACAGG
rnacentral:rRNA from 1 species